GUGCUAACGUCCGUCGUGGAGAGGGAAACAACCCAGACCGCCAGCUAAGGUCCCCAAGUACUAGUUAAGUGGGAAACGAUGUGGGAAGGCAUAGACAGCCAGGAGGUUGGCUUAGAAGCAGCCACCCUUUAAAGAAAGCGUAAUAGCUCACUGGUCGAGUCGGCCUGCGCGGAAGAUGUAACGGGGCUAAAACUAGUCACC
rnacentral:rRNA from 2 species